CAAUACUGAAGACUCCCAUCUUCUGCAUGAGGCUCCUUCAGGGUUUUGAAGACAACUAACAUGUCCCCUUAAGACUUCCCUCAAAGCUGACAGCUCCAGUUCUGGCAACGGUAGCUCCGAGUUUCACUUUCCAGACCUUCAGCAUUCUAGACAUUUUCUGGCAUGACCAAUGUACUCUGGAGAAGUCUUUUAAAAGACUGACCAACUGUCCCAGAUUGAAGAAGACUAAGGAGAUACGACAGGUUAAUCUCUGGAAUCCCCACGUGCCCAAAUCAAUUUGUUUCCGGGACUACCAUAACAAAGCACCACGAACUUGGUGGCUUCGAACAAUAAAAAGGUAUCCUCUCACAGUU